rnacentral:ncRNA from 1 species
CUAUGGUCUUAUUGAACAAUGGCCAAAACUGUAGUGAACCUAAGGUUAAAAAUCAUCAAAUUGACGGGAACAUCCUAAAGCUAUCUAAACCAAGUAAGUAUGGUAACAUAACUUAUGGCUCAGGUAAUGACUCGAGGUAUGGUAAAAUCUAGAUAGAUAAUUUUAUGGACAAUCCGCAGCCAAGUACUAACUGCCCAAUCCUAAGGGUAAGGGUAUGCAGUUCAUCGACUAGACGGUGAUUGGUGUUAUUAUUAUUAAUAAUGCUUAAGAUAUAGUCAGACCCUACUUGAAAAAGUACA